rnacentral:rRNA from 1 species
GAACGGGUGAGUAACGCGUAGGUAACCUGCCUUGUAGCGGGGGAUAACUAUUGGAAACGAUAGCUAAUACCGCAUAACAAUGAAUGACUCAUGUCAUUUAUUUGAAAGGGGCAAUUGCUCCACUACAAGAUGGACCUGCGUUGUAUUAGCUAGUAGGUGAGGUAACGGCUCACCUAGGCGACGAUACAUAGCCGACCUGAGAGGGUGAUCGGCCACACUGGGACUGAGACACGGCCCAGACUCCUACGGGAGGCAGCAGUAGGGAAUCUUCGGCAAUGGGGGCAACCCUGACCGAGCAACGCCGCGUGAGUGAAGAAGGUUUUCGGAUCGUAAAGCUCUGUUGUAAGUCAAGAACGAGUGUGAGAGUGGAAAGUUCACACUGUGACGGUAGCUUACCAGAAAGGGACGGCUAACUACGUGCCAGCAGCCGCGGUAAUACGUAGGUCCCGAGCGUUGUCCGGAUUUAUUGGGCGUAAAGCGAGCGCAGGCGGUUUGAUAAGUCUGAAGUUAAAGGCUGUGGCUCAACCAUAGUUCGCUUUGGAAACUGUCAAACUUGAGUGCAGAAGGGGAGAGUGGAAUUCCAUGUGUAGCGGUGAAAUGCGUAGAUAUAUGGAGGAACACCGGUGGCGAAAGCGGCUCUCUGGUCUGUAACUGACGCUGAGGCUCGAAAGCGUGGGGAGCGAACAGGAUUAGAUACCCUGGUAGUCCACGCCGUAAACGAUGAGUGCUAGGUGUUGGAUCCUUUCCGGGAUUCAGUGCC